rnacentral:rRNA from 1 species
UACAGAGGGUGCGAGCGUUAAUCGGAAUUACUGGGCGUAAAGCGCGCGUAGGCGGCUUUGCAAGUCGGGUGUGAAAUCCCCAGGCUUAACCUGGGAACUGCAUUCGAGACUGCAUUGCUAGAGUAUGGGAGAGGGAAGUGGAAUUUCCGGUGUAGCGGUGAAAUGCGUAGAUAUCGGAAGGAACAUCAGUGGCGAAAGCGGCUUCCUGGAUUUAUACUGACGCUGAGGCGCGAAAGCAUGGGUAGCAAACAGG